rnacentral:rRNA from 1 species
GGCGGACGGGUGAGUAACACNCCCNNNNNUNGUCUUUACGAGGGGGACAACACUGGAAACGGUUGCUAAUACCCCAUAUGCUUUCAAGUGAAAUGGAUUUCCGCCUAAAGAGAAGCUUGCGGCUGAUUAGCUUGUUGGUAGGGUAAUGGCCUACCAAGGCGACGAUCAGUAUCUGGUUUGAGAGGACCAUCAGACACACUGGAACUGAGACACGGUCCAGACUCCUACGGGAGGCAGCAGUGGGGAAUUUUCCNCAAUGGGCGAAAGCCUGACGGACCAAUACCGCGUGAGGGAUGACGGCCUAUGGGUUGUAAACCUCUUUUUUCAGGGAGGAACAAAAUGACNUGUACCUGAAAAAUAAGCAUCGGCUAACUCCGUGCCAGCAGCCGCGGUAAGACGGAGGAUGCAAGUGUUAUCCGGAAUCACUGGGCGUAAAGCGUCUGUAGGUGGUUUAAUAAGUCAACUGUUAAAUCUUGAGGCUCNACCUCGAAAUCGCAGUCGAAACUAUUAGACUAGAGUAUAGUAGGGGUAAAGGGAAUUUCCAGUGGAGCGGUGAAAUGCGUAGAUAUUUGGAAAGAACACCCGAUGGCGAAGGCACUUUACUGGGCUAUUACUAACACUCAGAGACNAAAGCUAGGGUAGCAAAUGGGAUUANAUACCCCCAGUANUCCUANCUGUAAACAAUGGAUACUAGAUGUUGGACAGAUCGACCUGUGCAGNAUCAAAGCCUAACGCGUUAAGUAUCCCGCCUGGGGAANNAUGCUCGCAAGANUGAAACUCCAAAGGAAUUGACGGGGGCCCGCACAANCCGGUGGAGCNUGUGGUUUAAUUUCNAUGCA